CUAGACCAAACUUUGCUUUCUAGAGCUAACUGCAUUAACGGAAUGCAUUGACGGAAUUCCAGUCCAAGCACGUUUACCAAGAACGUUGACCAAGGUCAAACUUUGGCAAAACACAAAAGCUAAAACUCCUAAUCGUACACACUCCAAACAAAAGCCUCGAAAACCGCACAAAACAUCACACUAAACCAAAAAGAACCCUUCCGUAGCUGAUGGAACUGACGGAAUUUUGAUCUGACACCAGAAUCAUCGGAUGUUGACAAAAGUCAUCUCUUUCAUGCGUCAAGCCUCCAAAAUUGAAAAGCAUGCACCAAAGACUGUGUGUCCUGAUCAUACUCAUCNNN
rnacentral:lncRNA from 1 species